rnacentral:snoRNA from 1 species
CCUCGAUGAUGAGUUGCCAUGCUAAUAACUGGGCUACCAGCUAGGGCGGUGUUGGCCUGCUUUGGGUGCCAGUGAGUUUAACAACAGCAAAAUACUGGCAGCU